GCCCGCCUAGCUCAAUCGGCCAGAGCGUCAGACUUUUAAGGCGGAUGUAAAUUUGUCAGAAACAUCUGAAGGCUGCGAGUUCGACCCUCGCGGUGGGCU
rnacentral:tRNA from 1 species